rnacentral:rRNA from 1 species
UGGGGAAUUUUGGACAAUGGGGGCAACCCUGAUCCAGCCAUGCCGCGUGUGUGAAGAAGGUCUUCGGGUUGUAAAGCACUUUUGGUCGGGAGGAAGGCCAGUAAGCUAAUACCCCGAGGUGAUGACGUUACCAGAAGAAUAAGCACCGGCUAACUACGUGCCAGCAGCCGCGGUAAUACGAAGGGUGCAAGCGUUAAUCGGAAUUACUGGGCGUAAAGCGUGCGGAGGUGGUUGAGCAAGUUGGAUGUGAAAUCCCCGGGCUCAACCUGGGAACUGCAUUCAUAACUACAGGGCUAGAGUUCGGUAGAGGGGGGUGGAAUUUCCUGUGUAGCGGUGAAAUGCGUAGAUAUGUGAAGGAAUACCGAUGGCGAAGGCGGCCACAUGGGAUAAUACUGACGCUGAGGUGCGAAAGCGUGGGGAGCAAACA